CUUUCUCCCUCCCACUACUUAUAAUUAUCUUUCAUACGCUAUGUGCAAAUGUAUUACCCAUGGUUGCAAAUGUCGCUAGUCGCUCUCUAGUUGGAGUUGAGAGUACUCGGGUAGUGCCUGGGCCUCGGCAGCCUACGUUGUAGCGAUUUAUCAGGAAGUACUCGACCUCCGAGACCUUGUUUUAAAAGACUGAAUGAAGAAAGUAAAGAAGAAACUUUCUAUUUUCUCCAUCCAAUGUCCUCAAGUAUGAAAAGGACCACAAAAGAAGAUAACAUAAAAAUAAGCAUGUUCACUGUUUCUAUAGCAAUGUGGGGUGGUGGUGUACGUAUAUGUCAAUAAAAGACAUAAUAACAUUGCCUCUUUCAUCUAUGAUUGAUGCUAUAUUUUAUAUAAUAUAUUGCUAGAUUAGAUUA